rnacentral:rRNA from 1 species
UACGAAGGGGGCUAGCGUUGCUCGGAAUUACUGGGCGUAAAGGGCGCGUAGGCGGACAUUUAAGUUAGAGGUGAAAGCCCAGGGCUCAACCCUGGAACAGCCUUUAAUACUGGAUGUCUUGAGUUCGGGAGAGGUGAGUGGAACUCCGAGUGUAGAGGUGAAAUUCGUAGAUAUUCGGAAGAACACCAGUGGCGAAGGCGACUCACUGGCCCGAUACUGACGCUGAGGCGCGAAAGCGUGGGGAGCAAACAGG